rnacentral:rRNA from 1 species
CCUACGGGUGGCAGCAGUGAGGAAUAUUGGUCAAUGGGCGAGAUCCUGAACCAGCCAAGCCGCGUGAGGGAUGACGGCCCUAUGGGUUGUAAACCUCUUUUGUCGGGGAACAAAACCCGGGACGAGUCCCGGACUGCGUGUAUCCGAAGAAAAAGCAUCGGCUAACUCCGUGCCAGCAGCCGCGGUAAUACGGAGGAUGCGAGCGUUAUCCGGAUUUAUUGGGUUUAAAGGGUGCGUAGGCGGUCUGUUAAGUCAGCGGUAAAAUUGCGGGGCUCAACCCUGUCGAGCCGUUGAAACUGUGAGACUUGAGUAGGCGAAGAGUACGCGGAAUGCGCGGUGUAGCGGUGAAAUGCAUAGAUAUCGCGAAGAACUCCGAUUGCGAAGGCAGCGUACCGGCGCCAGACUGACGCUGAGGCACGAAAGCGUGGGGAUCGAACAGGAUUAGAUACCCGUGUAGUC